UGUAGUCAAAUGGGGGCUCUGUCAAGAUAUGGGCCAUUUUUUGUGUUUUUAUACACAAUUACAUAGUAAAACCCUCCAAUAAAUAAAGAAAUUGAAAAUUAAAAAAAAAUACAUGAUGAAAUGUUUUGUUUUUCACAUAUAUCAUGCAAUUUUCAUUCUUCUUAUAAAAAAUGAAAAGAGAAUUGAAGGUAGCCUUUAUUGCAGUGACAAGGGGGCAUAUCAAAACACAAAAUUAGCACUUAUUUUAUCCAUCUAGACAUGAAAUAAGUCACCAUGGGUGUACAUAACAUCAACAAACGAUUGCAAUACUGUAUUAGUUUCUAAAAAAUAAAUAAUUCUUACAUUUUGAAAUAAUUUUCUCUUCAUGCUUUCUUUUUUUUCUUUAUACGCGACGAGAAAGACUAAAAUCGUUUACUUUUGGUUGGCCGUGUUUGUUUUUUUAACUCACAAAUUGAAUAAAACAAGGUAAAAUUAAUGAAUAUGUACCAAGAAAUUGAUACCUCAAAAUAAAUCAUGUUCCAAAGUUGUUUAUCACUUAAAAAUUAAAAAAAAAACAAAACAAAACAUGUAAAUAAUAGAAAUACCAGCUUUCAACAUGUACAGUCUAUAGAGUUACCAGGUAUGCAAGAUCAGCGAAACAUUUUAGCGCAAUUUGACGUCAUUUUAAUUGUGACGUUAUUGUAAUCAAUUGUGACGGCAGUCAAAGGUACUGUGACGUGCCUGAGUCGACGCUGCGUUAAAACGUAUGCGCAGUUCAACUAGAUCGGGCCUCGUUAA